AUAAAGGCUCUACCCUGAUUAAUGGGAUUAUGGAACAGGCUUCAAAGAGCUACCUGGAACUUCCAUCACUUCUACCAUGUGAAGAUAAACAUGAAUCUCUUUUUUCCCUUAUAUUUCUUCUGCCAUGUGAGAACACAGUAUUUGUCUUUUCCACCUUUCCAUGAUGUGAGGACACCCCAAGAAUGUCCCCUAAAGACAGGAAACAAGACAUGGAAUCUUCUGGCACCAUGAUCUUGGACUUCAUAGCCUCCAAAAUGGUUAGCAAGCUGAAGCAAGGGAAGAGAAGAACAGUUUAAUAAUCAAAGAGCGUGAUUAUAAUGAUGCCCCCAUGGAGCUGAAGAAUAGAGAACCUACAGACCCGCAUGUAUUGAAGUUUGAAACCACCUGUGUAAACAGCACACAGAUGAAGGACCACUUUACCCUGUUUCUCACACCAUAGGUGUCAUAGACAUACUAAUGAAGGGGCUGCCUCACACAGAGAGCUAUCUUACAAGGUUCUGAGAAUAAAAUGAGAGCUAGAAGAGACAUGAUUUCUACUUCAAUAUUUUAUUUGGCAACAUCCUACUGAAAAGACAAGCAAAACCACUAUGAUUCAUAAUACUUGCAGAUGAAGGCAAUAUGACACAAGAAGGUUAAACGGCCUCUCAUGACAAUUGAAGGGAACGAGAGCAAAGCCACCUGCAUAUCUUCGGCAGUUAAAGAUCAGAAUCAUAACAACAAUAACAUCUCACAAUUUUCCAAGUGCUCCUUCGGCUCUGUCUUUUUCCUCCCACCUGAGGCCCCCAGGGUGGGUGUAGACAUUCAUCUCUGCUUCAUUUGAUCCACCUCUGCUUGGCCACUGCUGGACUUUUUCUCAGGCAAAGGAGAACCCCCAGGAGAGUGGAUAAACUGGACCAAGGAGCUGCAGAGCUCAAAUAGAACACUUCUCCUUCAAAAUUUAACUCAGCUCUCGGAAACACUGAAAGGAAAUGUGGCCUAUAAUUAUCCAACGUGAGAUGCAAGGAUUGAAUGCUUUGUCCAAGCUUUGCUGUUCUAAGAGAAGUCAAGGUGAAGGGUUUAGUGCCUCUGAAGCUGGGGCAAGAAAACAAUCGGCUUCUCCAACGGUCAGUAAAGAAUACAAGGGCACAGUUAAAACAGAGCCACUGAAGUGAACAACCUUCAUGUGACCAACAGGAGAAACACCCCCUCCAGGAACCUAAGACCAGUUUGCUACAAGAAUACAAUUGGUAUUCCCCACAGUCACCCUCACAAGGGACACUUACAAAGCACACUCCAAUCUCAGCCAUUACUGACUGACAAGAGCCUGCCUGUCUGAAGCCUGCAGGCCCGAGAAGCUUCUUUCUCCCUUCUCUUGGCUAUUAGUCACAGCUGGUAAGGCUCACAGGAACCGAGACUGUUUGAAAACAGUUGGAUCACGAAAACGUUUGAGUCUUUCUGCUGCAAGCAACAAACUUGGCCCAGGCUGCCACAAGGAGAUGGAGUGGGAGUGGGGGUGGCGAUGGGAUGCACCAGGAACGAAGGAAGAAAGGGAAAUUGCUAACCACCUCACUUCAAAAUCUUCUCUGAGGGAGCCCGUGGCUAUUAUCCUGGUUCAAAUGUCACAGAUAGAAGAUAAUAAAAACAAGAAGAAAUAAAAUUCAAGAUCCAUUAGAACACUUCUGGAUUGUCCAUUACAGCAUGUAUUACCCAACAGAAAGAUGAUCACUAAUAGAUGACAAGCUAUUUAAUUUUAUGUUUACUUUUGGAAGGAUGCAGGUACUGUGCAGGGUUUCUACAACACAUCAGCAUUGCUUACACCAGUACUUCAAAUAUGAGUUAUUUAAUCACCCAAGUUAAAUGAAAAUAACCAAAUGAUUAAAUAAAAUCAAGUCAUACUUCA